rnacentral:rRNA from 1 species
UCGGGAAUAUUGCACAAUGGAGGAAACUCUGAUGCAGUGACGCCGCGUGCAGGAAGAAGGUUUUCGGAUUGUAAACUGCUUUAGACAGGGAAGAAACAAGACAGUACCUGUAGAAUAAGCUCCGGCUAACUACGUGCCAGCAGCCGCGGUAAUACGUAGGGAGCAAGCGUUAUCCGGAUUUAUUGGGUGUAAAGGGUGCGUAGACGGGAGUCUAAGUUAGUUGUGAAAUCCCUCGGCUUAACCGAGGAACUGCAACUAAAACUGGAUUUCUUGAGUGCGGGAGAGGAAAGUGGAAUUCCUAGUGUAGCGGUGAAAUGCGUAGAUGUCGAGAAGAACACUCGUGGCGAAGGCGGGUUCCUGGACAUGUACUGACGCUGAGGUACGAAGGCUAGGGGAGCGAGAG